AUUGAACGCUGGCGGCAGGCCUAACACAUGCAAGUCGAGCGGAUGAAGGGAGCUUGCUCCUGGUUUCAGCGGCGGACGGGUGAGUAAUGCCUAGGAAUCUGCCUGGUAGUGGGGGAUAACGUCCGGAAACGGGCGCUAAUACCGCAUACGUCCUGAGGGAGAAAGUGGGGGAUCUUCGGACCUCACGCUAUCAGAUGAGCCUAGGUCGGAUUAGCUAGUUGGUGGGGUAAAGGCCUACCAAGGCGACGAUCCGUAACUGGUCUGAGAGGAUGAUCGGUCACACUGGAACUGAGACACGGUCCAGACUCCUACGGGAGGCAGCAGUGGGGAAUAUUGGACAAUGGGCGAAAGCCUGAUCCAGCCAUGCCGCGUGUGUGAAGAAGGUCUUCGGAUUGUAAAGCACUUUAAGUUGGGAGGAAGGGCAGUAAGUUAAUACCUUGCUGGUUUGACGUUACCAACAGAAUAAGCACCGGCUAACUUCGUG
rnacentral:rRNA from 1 species